rnacentral:tRNA from 1 species
GACCACGUAGCUCAGUUGGCAGAGCAUUGGGCUGGUAUUCCAAAGGUCGUAGGUUCGAUUCCCACAGUAGCCA